rnacentral:sRNA from 1 species
AACAACAACAAGAAGAGAAAAAAAA